CGAAUAUUCUUUUUGUCUGCAGACCAUGCUUAAUCUUGUUUUUUAUGUUGAUUCCAUCAACAAGUGUUUAAUUUUUCUUCCCACCCCCAGAUCAACGGAUCAACAUGCUCUAAUGUUUACGAGUUCGAGAGAAGUUUUCGUCCUCACAGAGCACCGCCGAGAGCAUCAAACGUGAGGAGGAAUGGAAAGAAACCACUCAGUUUGGAUCACCAGCAAGAUAUUCGAUACAUACUGAUUUAUUGCCUGCAUGCAACGUUUAGCAAAAACAUACCGGAUUGGUUCAGAUCAUCGGUUCCUCCGCCGGAUCACUGGGAGCACUCAUGUUUUUGGAAGAGGAAGUACAAGGCAACACGAUUAUGUUUGCCAACAUGCUUAUGCUGCCUUGGAUCGGAAUACGCUGGACCCUUUUUAGUCCAUCCAGGUCCUGCUUCAUCGGUUCUGAUCUUGACACGCUUGGUUGCUCAUCAAUACAGCGAUGAACUGAUAACAAAUAUAGAACUGUCCAUAAUCGAUGACAGCAAACCCAAAGGGAAGACAAUAACCUUUGGAAAAUAUCAUCCUGCAGGUACUAAUGGCUGCUGGUUCCCUGUUCGUGCUGAGAAACGAGAAUAACUGCUUUUUCGUCGAUUGAAUUUUGAUAGCUGAGAUUUAUUUGUGCGAUGCAAAGUAUCUCUGCCUGGUCUCGAAGAUUCCUUAGAUAAUCCACGGGCACACCCGUAUACCGACAAUUUCAUCUGUGACAGUGUAUGUCUGCUGAAAGAGUACGAGUACGAAUAGAAAAACGGUACCGCAGACGCUUGGAUUCUGUACGAUACUUCGUCGGACAAGGAAGUUAAUUUGAACUUUAAUAUACUAAAGCAGAAAUGGCUGCACAAUUCGUGAAUCAGUUAGGUGGAGUUUAUCACCAAUUUCGUACCAAAUACAUAGUAUUUGCUCGCACUAUCCAAAGAGUAUGAAGGUAAUCGUUGGCUGUACAAAUCAAAGUGCUGCCAGACAGUAGUAUCCGGAGGUUAGGAGAAAUCCGCUGAUCAGGAAAAUGUUUUUAAUACGCACGGGAACUUGGAACAUGGAAAAGACAAUUCGUUUCUCGAAGGCUGGCUUCCAGCUGGAACAAUUCGGAAGGUCAGCAGGCCUGUGGUUUAGUAUCAAGGAUCACUGGCUAUUACAUAAUUACCGCCGACAAUCCAAUAGUUCUUUCCAAACAGCAGCUGCGAAGUCAUCGGUUGAAUGUAUGCCACCAAGUAACCUGCAUCACCUUCCCUGGAUAUUUGUUCGGCAAUGCUGGUCCCGUCGGUAGCAUGAUAAACAGGCAGAGAAUCCCACCAUUGGACAUGUUCACUCGUCCUUACGACCCGGAGCGUGUCCAGGCAGCAAUUAUGCCUGUCACAGUCGGUGCUCAUGAACAUUUAUCUCUGUUGGUUUUCCAGCACCUACUCAGGCGAUGCAGAUAGCUAAACAGUCAGCCUAAUCAAAUCGUAGUUUAUUACAUCAUCAAACAGGCAUCAAACCGGAGUAAUAAUCAAUCAGUCUGCUAAGUCGAUCAAGUGCCACAAGUAAUGUUCCAACCGGGUUUCAGUCUCCUGUAGCAGCCUUGGUAACUGCUUUCCGUAAUCAGGAACAACACUGAAUUGUGUC